rnacentral:lncRNA from 1 species
AUGCCAGUUCCCAUUGAUUUUGGGAGCAGCACAUAUAGAAACAAUUGCUAUACUUGAUCAUGACUACUUCCUAUGGCUCUGAAGGAUCUUUGCAAAUUGUCAUUUUGGACUCAGUUUGAAUACAGGCAAGCUCUCUGGGAAGUCAGAUCAUCACAGGGGGAUUGGUGGGCAUGGCAUCAGAAUUGAACUGGACUGUUUAAUGGCAUAGAAUUCUGAUAGAUGGAUUUAUCACUUGCUAACAUGGGGACCUAGCUCCCAUCAGCCUAAGAGCAGCUUCUCUAAGUGGUGCUUCGAGAGACCUUCCCAAAGUUUAUCUCUAUGACUUUUCUUUGUUUUUGUGGCAUAGUGUUUUCACAUUCAGCCACUGAUUUCUCAGAUAUUUGCCCACACAAAGACCCACUGGUCAGGAAUUGCUAUUCUUUAUAUCAAGAGUUUCCAACCAAGUUGAAAUAAGUGCAAAUCCUGAUGCUAAGAACCAAACUCAAGAACCGUUCAGCCUUCAUUAGAGCAAGUCUUGUUAUUUAGAAGUUAACCAGUCGGAAACUCAUUGCAUAGCGGCCUCUGAUGAAUGAACAUCAUCAUUCCAUUUACCCGAUCACGAAUGUGUCCUUUCCCAGAGGAGCUGGAGAGAAGAGGCUCAGCUCUGGGUUCAAGACAUGCCUGCCAAAGCACCACAUCAUAUCACCUAACCGAAGGCCCCUCCUUCUGCUUGUUUGUUGAAAUAACAGAUGGCAUCCUGAUCUAUGCCCUACCUGGACAAUGGAUAUGGGUCAUGGUGAGAAGGUACCCUUGA